rnacentral:rRNA from 1 species
GAGGAAAAGAAACCAACAGGGAUUGCCUCAGUAACGGCGAGUGAAGCGGCAACAGCUCAAAUUUGAAAUCUGGCCUCUGGCCCGAGUUGUAAUUUGCAGAGGAUGUUUCUGGCGAGGUGCCUUCCGAGUUCCCUGGAACGGGACGCCAUAGAGGGUGAGAGCCCCGUACGGUUGGUCGCUAAGCCUCUGUGAAACUCCUUCGACGAGUCGAGUAGUUUGGGAAUGCUGCUCUAAAUGGGAGGUGUACGCCUUCUAAAGCUAAAUAUAGGCUAGAGACCGAUAGCGCACAAGUAGAGUGAUCGAAAGAUGAAAAGCACUUUGAAAAGAGGGUUAAAUAGUACGUGAAAUUGUUGAAAGGGAAGCGCUCUUGACCAGACUUGCGCCGGUUGAUCAUCCACCGUUCUCGGUGGUGCACUCUGCCGGCUCAGGCCAGCAUCAGUUCGGCUUGGGGGAUAAAGGCUUCGGGAAUGUGGCUCUCUCCGGGGAGUGUUAUAGCCCGUUGCGUAAUACCCUGGGCCGGACUGAGGUUCGCGCAUCUGCAUGGAUGCUGGCGUAAUGGUCAUCAGUGACCCGUCUUG